GUUUAUGAACCCUAGUCACACCUCCCUGCAUGUGACUUACACAGCCUUCCAUAAACACUUCCUGUAAAGAGAGCCCUAUUUAGGCUUUCUUUAUGGCAAGUUCUGUUUAAUUAAGAUGUUCUUAUCCCCUGCUAUGUUAAUAGCUUGCUAGACCCUGCAAGAGCCUCCUGUAUGUGAUUAAAGUUCAAUUUAGAGAUUGAGAUACAAUUAUUUAAGGUAAAUUACAUCUGUUUGAAAGUGAAACCAGUUUUUUUUUCAUGCAGGCUCUGUC